AGACAACAUUUUUAAUUUAAUUUUAUUAUUAUUUUUAUUUAUUCACAUUAUAUCCUCUCACUGUUCUUCUCCUGUCACCCCCUCUGAAAUCCUUCCCCCACUCCUCACUUCCCUUCUCCCCCCAGUGAGUGGGGUACCCCAGGUUAUCCAUCUACCCUAGCACAUCAAGUCUAGCCUCUUAAUUUUCUUUGUUUUUGUUUUGGUUUUUGGUUUUUUUUUUUUUUCCUCUCCCAAUCCUUCCCUUCUUUUUCCCCUGUCAUGGGAACCUCCAUAUUAAAGAUCACAUUUUGUUUUUAUUGAUUUUGAAUGGCCAUGCCCAUUUAAUGUUUAAUUCCUUUUCCAGUUGUUAUGACAAUAUGUUUAUUUGUGUAUCUUGUGAUCAACUCCAGUGUCUGUUCCUGGGAGUCCUUUUGGAUAAUUUCAGUUAUCAGUUAGAAUUCACAAAGACUGGGAUAAAAAACUCCCAGUAUUUAAACAAAUUAUUUUUGUCUACAGAGUUGUAGAACUUCAUUAUCUGUCUUCUGUCUUAAGUUUAUAUUUGAUAUUUUAAGUAGAAUUCAAAAUUAAAAGGAAUAUAUUCAAAUACAUGCUUUUGGUAGUCACCUUUAAUUUUGGAAUAUGUUACAUGUUUUGAGUAUUCAACCCUCAUUUGUUCCUGAUUCAUUCCCUAUGCCCCUUAUUGUUUUCUCUUAUUUUGUGUUUUCUUUUCAAACCCAUUGAGUGCAGUUAAGACUAUUAAUUUGUUCUUGGGUAUCAGACCAUCUAUUAGACCGUAGGUAGCUUUAUUUAAGAGCCAAAUCCUUAAAUAAAACUGACUAUCUGUCUCCAGCAUCCAAGAGCUAUGAACUUUUACUUAUCCAAUUGUGGGACCUUCAUACUGCCUUCCCUCAUCAUGCUGAGAUUUUUAUUGAGUUACUCUUAUACAGCACUUGCACACCAAGGUUCUUACACAUAUUAAGCAAAUGAUUCACUCCUAAUCUACCAUCCCUAACUUUACAUAAGUUUUUAAAAUGGUCCUAUGGGGAAGUGAGAAGGCACAGUGGGGAAAAAUAUUGCUGUAUACUCUUGAUGAACUGACUUUGACCCUAACAAACAAACAAACCAGGUAAGGUGAAUGGAGAUAACCGAUUCCACAAAAAUGGAAGCUGUGUUAUUCCUUUGCAUGGAAAUAUGGUUGAGUAAAUGUUGAAACUGUGAGGCAAAGAACGAAGCUGUGAAGAUCAGUUUACAUUUUAAAACACAGCACAGCAGGUUCUCAUCCUAAAGAUAUAUUCUAGUUGUGGUGGCUAUUCUAGUUUGGCAACUUGACUACAUCUGACAUUAACUAAAACACAAGGGAUUGUAUACAGCUGUGAUGGAACUUUUUCUUAACUAAAUAAUUCAAAAUGGAAAGACCUACUUUCAAUCUGCAUCUUUUGAAGUGGACAGCUGCACGUUUAAUCUCCUGCUGGGAGCCUAUAGAACAGGAGAGGCAGACGUUUGCUUGCACUCUUUGCCUCCUUGCUUUCUCACUCAAUAAAAAGUCCAUUUUCCACCAGCAUUAAAAGCCCAUUUCUUUGGGAUUCUAUUACAUACUAAAGACCAGUUGAGGUGUCCAGACUCCUGGAGUAAACAACUACUAGGUUCUUGGGACUUCUGUUGAUAGACAGACAUUGUUAAACUAGCUGGAUCACAGCCUGUAAGACAUGUAAAUAUUCCUCUUUCUAUAUACAUGUAGAUUAUUUCUACAAUUACAAUUCCUCUAGAGAACCAUGACUAACAGACUAGUUUUUAAAAGUUUACUGUUUCGAAAAUUCAAAGUGAGGUCAAGUGGUCAUGUUUGAAAAUAAUUACUCUGUAUUAUUUCAACAGAAUUUGAAAGUGAUAUUGAUAUAGGUAAUAAUUGUAGAAAACUUUUUUUUCUGUUGCAGGUGAGUAUUUUACGUUCAAUUUGUUCCUAACAUGGCUGCCUCUCUAGUCCUGGCUUCUGUUUUCAUCCUUCGUCACAUGUUCAUGACACUGUCACUUCAGAAGGACUCCACAGUCUUUGUCAGCCUCAUUGGAAAAUUAGUUAAUACUGUUUUAUGUUUGUUUGUUUGCUUGCGUGCUUCCUUGCUUCCUUGCUUGCUUGUACAUUUGAUUUUGUUUUGUUUUGUUUGUUUGUUUGCUUGUUUGUUUGUUUCUUUAACUAUUUUUGUUAGCUAAAUCUGUUCUUCCCCAAAUCUUUGUUUUCUCAAGUUAGUAUGUGUUGUUGAGGAAGGACCUGAAUAUGACAAAGUGUUCUGAACUAACACUUAGAGGUUUAUUAUAUCAUGUAAUCUUACAAGGUAAUACAUCUAGAGAUAAAGACACAACAUAUGGGAGCCUGUGAACCAUUCAUCACUUAAACUAGUACCAAAGGGUCAUGUAUAGAACAUAUCAAACUCUAUUCA
rnacentral:lncRNA from 1 species